AAGCGGCUCAAUACUAACAAUGCCGACGACCAGCAUGGAGACCAGAGGCUGUUGUGGUGGUGGUGGAGGAGUCGUGGGGUCGGCAGGCGGUGGUGAGAACUAUAAUGACCGUCACAAAACCCCUGUCUCCCCCCUUGUCCAUAUCAGGGGCCUGAUUGAUGGUGUGGUGGAAGCUGACCUUGUGGAGGCCUUCCGGGAGUUUGGACCCAUCAGCUAUGUGGUGGUAAUGCCUAAAAACAGACAAACUCUGGUGGAGUUCAAUGAUAUGUGGGGGCUUGUAGCGCCAUGAACUACGCAGCCGACACCCAAAUCUACAUUGCUGGUCACCCAGAUUUGGUCAAUUACUCUACCAGCCAGAGAUCUCUCACCCUGGGGACUCGGAUGACUCCUGGAGCAUCAAUAAUGUACUUCUCUUUACCAUACUGAAUCCUAUCUAUUCUAUUCCCACGGAUGUUCUUUACACUACCUGUAAUCCCUGUGGCCCUGUCCAGAUAAUUGUCAUUUUCUGAAAGAAUGAAGUGCAGACCAUGGUAGAAUUUGACUGUGUUCAAAGUGCCCAGUGGGCCAAGGCCUCACUCAGUGGGGUUGACAUUUAUUCUGGCUGUUGCACUCUGAAGAUUGAAUAUGUGAAACCUACAUGCUUGAAUGUGUUCAAGAAUGAUCAGGAUACUUGGGAUUAUACAAACCCCAACCUCAGUGGACA